rnacentral:rRNA from 1 species
AUGACAAGGGUGGACUUGGUUUCAUCUCCAACAACAAGAAGUCCGAAAAGGAAUAAGGAACAAGACCAAGUCAAGAAUCCGGCCAACAUCACAUGCUUCAAGUGCAAGAAUGUUGGACACCAUGUGAGAUCUUGUCCAUUGAAGAAGAAGGCUUCAAAUGUGAAGCAACAAGGGAUGCGGCCUCAAGUUCAAUCUCAAGGUCAACCUCAAGUUCAAUCUCAAGGUCAACCUCAAGCUGAAGAAAGGCCACUACCAAUAAUGAACCAAGGAAAUGCUCCCCAAAUUGAGAAAGUAAAGAAGAAGAGAAGGGGGAGCACAUGUUGCUAUAUUUGUUGUGAG